rnacentral:rRNA from 1 species
GGGGGGAGCAAGCGUUGUUCGGAAUCACUGGGCGUAAAGGGCGUGCAGGCGGUCAGGUAAGUGAGAUGUGAAAUGCCCCGGCUCACCCGGGGACCGGCAUCUCAUACUGCUUGGCUUGAGUACGGGAGAGGAUGUGGGAAUUCCUGGUGUAGCGGUGAAAUGCGUAGAUAUCAGGAGGAACACCGGUGGCGAAGGCGCACAUCUGGCCCGAUACUGACGCUGAGGCGCGAAAGCUAGGGGAGCAAACGGGAUUAGAUACCCCGGUAGUCCUAGCCGUAAACGGUGAUCACUAGGUGUUGGAGGCAUUGACCCCUCCAGUGCCGCAGCUAACGCAUUAAGUGAUCCGCCUGGGGAGUACGGCCGCAAGGUUG